GGAGGAAUGGCAGAGUGGUUGAAUGCGGCGGUCUUGAAAACCGUUGUGCCGCAAGGCACCGUGGGUUCAAAUCCUACUUCCUCCGCCA
rnacentral:tRNA from 4 species